AAUAGAUACCCUGGUAGUCCACGCCGUAAACUAUGGAUGCUAGCUGUUAGAAGUAUCGACCCUUCUAGUAGCGAAGCUAACGCGUUAAGCAUCCCACCUGUGGAGUACGGUCGCAAGACUAAAACAUAAAGGAAUUGACGGGGACCCGCACAAGCGGUGGAGCGUGUUGUUUAAUUCGAUGGUAAGCGAAGAACCUUACCCAGGCUUGACAUCCUACUAAGGCUUCCGAAAGGAAACUGUGCCUUCGGGAAAGUAGUGACAGGUGUUGCAUGGCCGUCGUCAGCUCGUGUCGUGAGAUGUUUGGUUAAGUCCAUCAACGAGCGCAACCCUUGUAGUUAGUUGAAUUUUUCUAGCUUAGACUGCCCUGGUAACAGGGAGGAAGGGGGGGAUGAUGUCAGGUCAGUAUUACCCUUACGUCUGGGGCUACAAACACGCUACAAUGGCCAGUACAAAGGGCAGCCAACCCGCGAGGGGGAGCAAAUCCCAUCAAAGCUGGUCUCAGUUCGGAUAGCAGGCUGAAACCUGCCUGCUUGAAGCUGGAAUCGCUAAC
rnacentral:rRNA from 1 species